rnacentral:tRNA from 1 species
GUGCCGGUGGUGUAAGGCGAACAUCGCUGCCCGGAAAGCAGAAGAUGCGGGUUCGAGUCCCAUCUGGCGCA